AUUGAACGCUGGCGGCAUGCCUUACACAUGCAAGCCGAACGGCAGCACGGGAGCAAUCCUGGUGGCGAGUGGCGAACGGGUGAGUAAAGUAUCGGAACGUGCCCAGUCGUGGGGAUAACGUAGCGAAAGUUACGCUAAUACCGCAUACGAUCUAUGGAUGAAAGCGGGGGAUCGCAAGACCUCGCGCGAUUGGAGCGGCCGAUAUCAGAUUAGGUAGUUGGUGGGGUAAAGGCUCACCAAGCCGACGAUCUGUAGCUGGUCUGAGAGGACGACCAGCCACACUGGGACUGAGACACGGCCCAGACUCCUACGGGAGGCAGCAGUGGGGAAUUUUGGACAAUGGGCGAAAGCCUGAUCCAGCCAUGCCGCGUGCAGGAUGAAGGCCUUCGGGUUGUAAACUGCUUUUGUACGGAACGAAAAGGUUUGGCCUAAUAAGCUGAGCUCAUGACGGUACCGUAAGAAUAAGCACCGGCUAACUACGUGCCAGCCGCCGCAGUAA
rnacentral:rRNA from 1 species